UUUCCCCCUCCCUCCUUAACUCAAGGCAAGCGUGACGAAUUAUGUAGUUCCUCUUAGUGACAAGGGAGCUUGAUAACAGUUUGACUUUUGUGUAGAAGUUAGGUCCAGUUAUUGUUACAAUAUUUCGGUUCAAAAUUUGAACUGAAGGAAGGGAAAUGUGUGAUUUUUACCUUUUUUUUUAACAAAUGUGAAAGAGUCAGUUUUAGAAAUGUGUGGUUAGUUUGGCAUUUGCUACAUGUAUAGAAAGAAAACUAAUUAUAUUUAUAACUAAAUCAUUGAGAUAGAAAAAUAAUCCCAUUGACUAUACACCUUUAUAGUUUUUUUUCCCCUUUCUGAUCAUAUAGUCUUCAGAUUUGGCUUCAGGAACCAAACUAUAUACUGGUUCCAACUUGGACUUUAUGACUGGUUGGUGCCAUUACUUUCUCCUCCCUUUUUUCUUAUUUUGGAAAUAAGUUUCUGUAUAUGUUGUAAUAUUAGUUUUUUAUUUUUAACCCUUUCUUAUCCUAUUCUCCAACUGGCUACCCCAGCAUGGUAAAUAAUAUAAUAACCAUUGAAUUUUCAGAAUUUAAAAGUUAAUCUUAUUCUUGUUUUUUCCCUUUUUUUCUAUUUUCCAUUUAAAGGAGAAAAAUAUUUGAGACUAGCAGAAACAGUGAGAGAAUUAAACCUUGGUGAGCUCUAAAAUAAGAAAGAUUCAUCAACGAAAAAUGUCAAGUAAAAGAAGCAGCAGCUUCUGAUAAGAAAACUGGAGGGUUUUUUUUUGUUACAAUGUCCCCAGACCCAUUACCAGCAUUAGUAAAAUGAAUCUGAGAGAGCUUCUGUUUCUAAGUACUUACUGAUCAAUUCGUGCAUCAUUUGAGAUGUUUAAUUACUUUUUUCAAAUAAAUGUUUUUUAAAACAAAAAAAAAAGUAAGAAAAUUUAUAUGUGCUUAUUGAUAGAAAUGUCCUUAUUUUCAUUUUAAAGAUGAAGAGGUCUGUGACCAAGUACACUCUUCCUUCCCACAAACACUUUCUCCUCUCUCUUUGUUACUACUAUUUGCUCUAUGGACAGUAUCAACCACCUUAACAUGCCAAGAAUCUUGUAAAAAGGAAAUAUGUGCUUUGUUUCUGACCUUUUGUUUCUACCAUACUCUCCUAAGGAACUUCACACCUAUUUUCUGUCCUGCAGAAGUACAAAGUAUGAAUAAAAAUCAUUUUGAUGUUUUGGAGUACUAGGGAAACUAAAAGUUUUUGUUUUCUAUCAUUCCCAUCACACCUGUGUUAAGGUAAUAGAUAUAAUAGAAGUGACUUUUAGUUAAUAAUGCAGGGAGAUUUUUACACAAAUUGGUAAGAUAAUGAAACCUAUAUAAGCACUUAAUGGUCUGCUUUUAGUUAAAUUCUUUCUCUCAUUUUCUCUGAAUAAUAUUGACCUUCUACAGCUGUUACUAAAUUACUUUACAGAAGCAAGCUGAUUUAUUUCUGAUGGACAGCUACAGUGCCUCUUAUGUUCCACAUAAGAAUAUUCUUUGUAAAUAGUUGGAUGGAUUAUGAUAAAGAAGAUGCUACCAGUGAGAAAGCAACUAGAUGAUAAGACUGAUCAUCACUCAAAAAGGCACUUCCAUCCAUGCCAGAAAGACUAUUCAUUGAAUACAGUGCCAAUACUCCAUUUUUAUGCCUGUGACUCAACAGAGGUCUUUCAGUUUAUAGAAAAAGUUUGCUAUUUGUAUUUACGACUUUGAUGGUUAAACUGCAUGUCCAUUGCUGGCAACGGACUUUGUCAUUAAAAUCUGGCUCCUCGUUUAAGGGAGCUACACUGUGGAUUUUAGUCUUUACUUACUUGGUUAAACUAACUUGUUAUAGAAAUAUACUUCAGUUCAUUCUGAAAUGUGUCAUUUUCAACACAGUAACUUAAAAGCAAUACAGGCUUGUGAUUUCUUAAUUAAAUUAAAAUGUUCAGAUCUUAA